rnacentral:misc_RNA from 1 species
UCAAACUUGGUCAUUUAGAGGAAGUAAAAGUCGUAACAAGGUUUCCGUAGGUGAACCUGCGGAAGGAUCAUUACCGAGUGACGGGGCCUAGCCCCGCUCUCCCACCCCCUGUAGUGUACCGAGCGAGGCGGCCGCGCCCUGCGCUGGCCGCCCCUAGAAGACCCCGAGAUGGACUUUGCUCUGACUGCAUUGAGAAAUCAGAUGAAAACUUUCAACAACGGAUCUCUUGGUUCCGGCAUCGAUGAAGAACGCAGC